rnacentral:rRNA from 1 species
AACGAACGCUGGCGGCAGGCUUAACACAUGCAAGUCGAACGAGAUCAUCGGAUCUAGUGGCAGACGGGUGAGGAACACGUGGGAACAUCACUUUCAGUUCGGAAUAACGUUGGGAAACUAACGCUAAUACCGGAUACGUCCUUCGGGAGAAAGAUUUAUCGCGGAAAGAUUGGACCGCGUCUGAUUAGCUAGUUGGUGAGGUAAUGGCUCACCAAGGCUACGAUCAGUAGCUGAUCUGAGAGGAUGAUCAGCCACAUUGGGACUGAGACACGGCCCAAACUCCUACGGGAGGCAGCAGUGGGGAAUAUUGGACAAUGGGCGCAAGCCUGAUCCAGCCAUGCCGCGUGAGUGAUGACGGCCUUCGGGUUGUAAAGCUCUUUUGUCCGGGAAGAUAAUGACUGUACCGGAAGAAUAAGCCCCGGCAAACUUCGUGCCAUCCGCCGCGGUAAAAC